GGGGACAGCACCAGGCAGGGGGAGGACCUGGGUCUGGAGGUGGCCUGGCCCCACCUUUCCUGCUUGUGUGCCCUGAGCAGCCUCCAUCCUGUCUCUGAGAGAAUUAGAGCUAUCCAGCCCCUGACUGAUGAUGUGGCCAAGACUGAUCUUUCGCCACCCUCAUCUCUUGAAUCAAGGAGAUCCCCUCUCAGCCUGUCUCUGGACCCCUGAGCAAUUCCCGCUUCCAAAUGGUGUUUCAAAGGGGAACUUUCUUCCUGUGUGUUGGUAGCACCUCUCUUGAGAUACGCCCACCGCAACAUCUCGGAAUGAUCACCGGCAGAGAGAGAUUCAGCAGUGUGCCUUGCCCUGGCCAGUGUGAGAAGGUGGGACACAAGUAGAGGCCUGAGGUGAGUUUGCACAGUUUUUCUUGCCCUCAGGCAUGUCUCCCAUCACUAUGGGAAACACACACCACAGUUAGUCCACUGGUUCAAAGAGAAAGGGUGAUACUUGGAGCAAACCUGAGACCAACCAGACUCGGCCGGGCCCAGACUAGAUCCACUGAGUCUCAGCUGAACUGAGGACAGUGGGCACACGAGGGAGAUUAAAUGAUUGGUGUGUUAGCCGAAGACAUUGUUGUGGGGAUAUUUGUUACUCGGUCGUAGUGACACACCCGCUAACUGCCACAGGUAGGCGAUGACAGAACCAAUCUCAAGGUCUUGGAGGUUGCAUGAAAGGAGAACUUUGUAAGUAGCUACAACCCUGCCUGGUGUUGCCGUUGGCUCAUAGAGCCUUCACCCUCCUCUCCGAAUGCAGCCUUGCCCCCUGCCCCUCUGCAGGCCCCCUUCCCUGGUCCGUGCCCUCCACUUUGUCCCGCCUUCCUGGUCCUCCCCUGCACUCAGCUCCACCCUCCCAUUCUUUCCACGCCUCCCCUGCUAUUCAUAUUCAGCAGCUGAUCUGCCUCCUUAAUCCAUGUUAGUUCAAGAGUGGGAAAGUGCUACCUCCACCUCGCCUCGUCCCUCCUUCCUGGGAAUCAGUGGUUUGUUAUUUUUGUUUGUUCAUUUUAAGCAUUUGCUGGAGUCAAGGGCUCCUUUUGUCUCCCCAAGAGGAAUGAAUCAUCCUGGUGCACAGUCCAGAGGAGGGAUGAGGGAACGGGCAGGCUGGCACAGGCUGGCACGGGCAGGACGGUUGUGGAAAGACUGGCACAGUUUCUUUGAAGCUGGUGGAGCUUUGAGGCAACCUGGCCCCUCGAAACACACAGGUCUUGUUCACCUCGCCGCCAAGCUCUCUGCCUAUGCCGCCGUCCCACCCUCUGCGUGCAGGUGGUCAUUGCUGAACCGAUAACAGGUCCUGCAGACAUUGUCAGAGGAGCAGCGGGGGCCGUGGGGGCAGAAACGUGGCCCUGGCCUCGUCUCCAGGAGCCUCUGACAUCACGGCAACAGGGAUGGGAGGCUUGCAGGGAAACGUGUGUGAGGUGGGAAAAGAAAAAUCCAGCAGGAGGCAAAGAGGAUAAGACGAAGGGGAGAAAAGAUGGGGCCAGAAGAAAAAGGAGGCAGAAGAAACACGGGAAAGAAAAAGAAAUCACGGCAGUGGAACGAAAGACCAUGAUGGGCAGAGAGGGCAGAAAAGCCUAAAUAAACGGGUGGGGGUCCAGAGGGGAUUUUUAAGUCCUGCAGACUUUCUCACCUAUUCCUAAAGGGGAGAGACAAAAAGGCUAAUGGAGACAGAAUGUAACCUAUACAUUCAUGUGGAAACUGGCGUGUUCCCAUGGAUCUCACGCCUGGGAAUUGGCCUUUGGGAGUUAUUCCUAGAAUAUUUGCCUGGCUUCUUAACCCGAGGAACAAAAGACCAAGGUUUUAAAAGGGGGUCGUGGGUGCAUCUUAAUGAGGCCAAUUGUAUCAGCCUGGAUUCUUAGCUGUAAACAAUAGGACUUAGCUCUGGCGAGUUUACCCAGAAAAUGAAUUUAUUAGGGAAUAAUAAGUAGUUCACAGACUCUCCAAGAGAGUGCCUCAGACAGGGAGCUGACAAGGUCAGAAACGGCGCCAACACAUCACACAACAGCUCCAGCGGAGACCAGGCUGCCGGCAGACAUGGAACUAGCACCUCGGCUUGACCUUGAGGAAGAAAGAAGGGUUUGCCUGGAUGCAGGAAAGAGAACCUGUUUGCAGGCGUAGGAUGCUGUUGAACUGCGUGUCUCUCUCUCUCUCUCUUUCAUUUUUUAAGGUUUUGUUGAAAUGUAGUUGAUUUACAGUGUUGUGAGCAUCUCUGCUGUGCAACAAAGUGAUUCAGUUACGCGUGUACACACAUCCCUUCUCUUUCAGAUUCUGUUCCCACACAGAUGAUCACAGCAUAUUGGGUUGAGUUCCCUGUGCCAGACGGCAGGUCCCCAUUGGCCAGUCAUUCCAUCGACCACAGGGUGCCUAUGCCAGUCCCACACCCCCUGUCCAUCCCCCCUACCUGUCCCCUUUGGUAACCGCAAGAUUCUCUGCAAAGUCUGUGAGUCUUUGUAUCUUUGCAAAUAAGUUCAUUUGUAUCCUUUUUUAUAUUCCACAUAUAACUGGUACCACAUGAUGUUUGUCUUCCACUGUCCAACUUCACUGAGUAUGAUCAUGUCUAGGUCCAUCCACGUUGCUGCACACGGCAUGACUUCAUGCUUUUUUGUGGCUAAUAUGUGGACCACAUCUUCUUUAUCCUUUCCUGUAUCUGUGGACAUAUAAGUUGCUUCCAUGUCUUGGCUCUUGUAAGUAGUGCUGCAAGGACCAUUGGGGUGUAUGUUAUCUUUUCGAAUUAUGGUUCUCUCUGGAUAGAUGCCCAGGAGUGGGAUGGCUGGAUCCUGUGGUAGUUCUCUUUUUAGUUUUUUGAGGAAUCUCCAUAGUGUUUUCCACAGUGGUUGAACCAAUUUACAUUCCCAUCAAAAGUGUGAGAUGGUUCCCUUUUCUCCACGCCCUCUCCAGCAUUUAUUGUUUGUAAACUUUUUGAUGAUGGCCAUUCUGGCUGGUGUAAGUGGUACCUCAGAGUGGUUUUCAUUUGCAUUUCUCUAAUAAUAAGCAGUGUUGAACAUCUUUUUGUGUGUUUUGGGGGCAUUUUCACAGAACUAGAAAAUAAAUUUAAAUUUUUAUGGAAACACAGAAGACCCCAAAUAGCCAAAGCAAUCCUGAGAAAGAAAAAGGAGCUGGAGGAAUCAAGCUUCCUGACUUCAGACUCAACCUCAAAGCUACAGUCCUCAAAACAGUAUGGUACCAGCACAAACACAGAAGUAUCAGUUCAAUGGAACAGAGUAGAAAGCCCAGAAAUAAACCCACACAUCUGUGGUCAGCUAAUGUAUGACAAAGUAGGCAAGAAAAUACAGUGGAGAAAAGAAAGUAUCUUUGAUAAAUGAUGCUGGAAAAACUGGACAGCUGCAUGUAAAAAAAAAAUGAAAUUAGAACACUUUCUAAUACCAUACACAAAAAUAAACUGAAAAUGGAUUGAAGACCUAAAUAUAAGACCAGAGACUAUAAAACUCUUCGACGAAAACAUAUGCAGAACACUCUCUGACACAGACCACAGCAGUAUUUUCUCAGAUCCAUCUCCUAGAGUAAUGAAAAUCAAAACAAAUAAGCAAAUGGAACCUAAUUAAACUUAAAAGCUUUUGCACAGAAAAGGAAACCUAAACAAAACAAAAAGCCGCCCCGCCAAGUGGGAGAAAAUAUUUGCAGAUGAAGCAACUGACAAGGGAUUAAUCUCCAAAAUACACAAACAACUCAUACAGUUCAGUACCAAAAAAAACAAACAAACAAUGCAAUCAAAAAAUGGGCAGAAGAUCUAAACAGACAUUUUCCAAAGAAGACAUGCAGAUGAGCCAUGUCUCUUAAUAUCCCGUCUCCCUUCCUCCUACAGCAGGAGUUCUCACCCUGGGCAGUCUUACCCACAGGGGACAUCAGGCAGUGUCUGGAGACAUUUUCACUUGUCAUAAUCAGGGGACGGAUGCCCCUGGCAUCUGAUGGGGAGCAGCCAAGCCCCUGAACCAUGUCCAAGGCCUGUGCUUGGCUGGCCUCUGUGUCCAGAUGAGUGGCUUAUUGUAGCACAGUACAGCACGGAAUCCACAGCCUAAAUUACUGCAAAAACGACAGCUCGACCACAGGAUGUUGGGGCCACGCCCAAGAUAUCGACUCCUCCACAGUUGAAUCCAUAAACACUGAGACUCUCCCACGACCGGGGUCAGCACAGUAUAUAUAUAUCCUGCGAGCCAACUUCAGCUCACCACUUAUUUCUAAACAACUCAGGAGCUACGAGUGAUGUUUAUAUUUUUUUAAUGGUUUUUAAAAAAUCACCUGGCUCCCUGGCAUAGGUUCUUGGCUGCUCACUGCCCUGCCUCCCAGUGCCUCCCAGCCUCCUGUUCCUUGUCGUCCCACCACCCCAACAGUCCCUGGCCCCUCUCAUCCCCAGCGGGGACCAAAGCUGGGCACAGGCUCUGCAGAGGAGGUACUUUGGUGGCCGUCCCCGUCCCAGGGUGGCAUCAGCAUGGCACAUUCAGUGCGCAGUGUGAUGAGGGGAGGAGGGGCUGCAUCUCUCCCCCACCCUCAUCCAGGUACCUCCUUCUGAAUUUCGAACAGACACGCUGAGUUUGCAUCUUGCACGGGACCCCAUGCACAUGGUCUCGCCAGUAAUCUCCAUUGUUUUCAUUCCUGUUUAUAGAAAUGUUUUUUUUGGGGGGGGGUUGUCUUUUUCUAGGGCCACACCCACAGCAUAUGGAGGUUCCCAGGCUAGGGGUCUAAUUAGAGCUGUAGCCGCCGGCCUACACCACGGCCACAGCCACGCCAGAUCCGAGCCGCUUCUGCCAUCUACACCACUGCUCAGGGCAACACUGGAUCCUUAACCCACUGAGCGAGGCCAGGGAUUGAACCCACAGCUUCAUGGUUUCUAGUCAGAUUGGUUAACCACUGAGCCAUGACAGGAACUCCACAGAAAUGUUUAUAGAAAGGCACUUGGGCGGGGCCGCUGAGUCCUGUCACUCUCGUCAUUGUGCCACACGGAUCCCAAGGAAGUGCUUCUUUCGUAGGCUGUGUGCAGGGCUGUCAUGGCAGUGCGUUGCUGGAGCUGGAGCCGACCGACCCUGUCAGAGUCUGUCCCCAUUUCUCCCCACUCAUCUCUAUGUCCCAGGGAGCAGGCUUAGCCUGCGUGCGACAAGCUGGCGUGCUGAGGAGCUGAGCCUCCUGGAAGCCGUGCUCAACCGGCAGCUCUUGGGAGCUGGGGUAUUUAUACUCUGGAGCAGGGGAGGUGCAUGACCUACAGGCUCUCCUCCAGGCCCCCAGAGGGCUGGGCCCCAACAGCCCAUGUGCUCAUAGACUUGGCAAUGCCGCCUUCCCUUCCCUUUCUCAUGCCCCCUCCCCUGCAGCUGCCUCCUGGGGUUGGCUCACACGGCAACACCUUGCACUCAAGCCCUGUCUCGGGUCUGCUUUGGGGGAAACCCAGAUCUAGACCCUUGUUUGACUUAGACUCCACCUUUACGCAUGAAGAAGACUUGGAUCCAUUGAUAAUUUAAAAUAAUGACAAUGCGGAGUUCCCGUGGUGGCUCAGCGGGUUAAGAACCUGACUAGGAUGCAUGAGGAUAAGGGUUCAACUCCUGGCCUCGCUCAGUGGGUUAAAGAUCCAGUGUUGCAGUGAGCUGUGGAGUAGGUCACAGACGUGGCUUGGAUCCGGCAUAGGCUUGGCGUAGGCUGGCAGCGGCAGCUCUGAUUGGAUCCCUAGCCUGAGACCUUCCAUAUGCCACAUGUUUGGCCCUAAGAAGCAAAAAAAAGAAAAAGAAAAA
rnacentral:lncRNA from 1 species